rnacentral:rRNA from 1 species
AGUGAACGCUGACGGUAGGCCUAACACAUGCAAGUCGAACGGCAGCACAGGAGAGCUUGCUCUCUGGGUGGCGAGUGGCGGACGGGUGAGGAGUACAUCGGAAUCUACUUUUUCGUGGGGGAUAACGUAGGGAAACUUACGCUAAUACCGCAUACGACCUACGGGUGAAAGCAGGGGAUCUUCGGACCUUGCGCGAUUGAAUGAGCCGAUGUCGGAUUAGCUAGUUGGCGGGGUAAAGGCCCACCAAGGCGACGAUCCGUAGCUGGUCUGAGAGGAUGAUCAGCCACACUGGAACUGAGACACGGUCCAGACUCCUACGGGAGGCAGCAGUGGGGAAUAUUGGACAAUGGGCGCAAGCCUGAUCCAGCCAUACCGCGUGGGUGAAGAAGGCCUUCGGGUUGUAAAGCCCUUUUGUUGGGAAAGAAAUCCAGCUGGUUAAUACCCGGUUGGGAUGACGGUACCCAAAGAAUAAGCACCGGCUAACUUCGUGCCAGCAGCCGCCGUAA